rnacentral:lncRNA from 1 species
UCUAGGGUAUUUGAAGUUUCUAGAAAAUAAUUUUUGCGAUUUUUUGAUAUCAUUUACCUAAUGAUCGAAAGGAUUUAAAAUCAAUAUUUUUUAAUGGUUGAUGUCUACCGUUUUCAAAUUUAACGGUGUAGAAGUAUUCAAAUCAGAUGAAAUUUUGAUAUAAAAUUUUUUAUACUAUCUACAACAAGAUCAAUAUUUCUGAUCGAAAAUUUUAGUGCUAUAUCACCACUUUUUAUAGAAUUUUUAUUUUCAGCCAUUAACAAUUAUUGAUUUUGAAUCCUUUCAAUUGCUAGGUAAAUGAUAUCGAAAAAUCGUAAAAAUUAUUUUCUAGAAACUUCAAAUACGCUAGAUCAAGUCUAACAGAGCCGAUCAUCGAUUC